AUACGUAGGUGGCAAGCGUUGUCCGGAUUUAUUGGGCGUAAAGCGCGCGCAGGUGGUUCCUUAAGUCUGAUGUGAAAGCCCCCGGCUCAACCGGGGAGGGUCAUUGGAAACUGGGGAACUUGAGUGCAGACGAGGAUGGUGGAAUUCCAAGUGUAGCGGUGAAAUGCGUAGAGAUUUGGAGGAACACCAGUGGCGAAGUCGACUGUCUGGUCUGUAACUGACACUGAGGCGCGAAAGCGUGGGGAGCAAACAGGAUUAGAUACCCUGGUAGUCCACGCCGUAAACGAUGAGUGCUAAGUGUUGGGGGGUUUCCGCCCCUCAGUGCUGCAGCUAACGCAUUAAGCACUCCGCCUGGGGAGUACGGUCGCAAGACUGAAACUCAAAUGAAUUGGCGGGG
rnacentral:rRNA from 1 species